AGAAAAUGACUAUUUUUAUUCCCAUAUUUAUUAAAAUUCCCAAUACUUAUAUCAGAUCUGUAUCAAGAAAUAUCAAUUAUCAACAUGAGAAAUUACAGUUAACUUGAACGGAAUUUUACUACUCUGUCCACAUGAGAUAAUUUCAGAAAAAAGGAAAAAAGAUGAAGGUACAUUCCAAAUAAAAAGUUCACUAUUCUCAGCAUGAUAUCAAAU
rnacentral:lncRNA from 1 species